CUACUCCAGCUGCAUGGUGAGCACAACAGGUUGGCCGGUAUCGGCUACUCCAGCUGCAUGGUGAGCACAACAGGUUGGCCGGUAUCGGCUACUCCAGCUGCAUGGUGAGCACAACAGGUUGGCCGGUAUCGGCUACUCCAGCUGCAUGGUGAGCACAACAGGUUGGCCGGUAUCGGCUACUCCAGCUGCAUGGUGAGCACAACAGGGGUUGGUCCCAAAUGGCACCUUAUUUCAUGCUGUAUGUACAGAUGCCGUACCUGAAAUUGAACCUGCUUCUCACAGCACGAAAAUAAUCCUGCUGCAACAGGAAAUGUCAAUUAUUAUGUGGAUUAUAAUUAAUGGACAUUUAUGUAGGGAAAAUCAGGUCUGAAAUGUUAAAGUGGAAAUUACAAACGUUAGAAGCCUUUUAAAAAUUUUAAUUCACAAAAAUUUGCAUUUCCUGCAAAAAUGAG